rnacentral:rRNA from 1 species
UUAGUAACUGCGAGUGAAGAGGGAAAAGCUCAAAUUAAAAUCUGGCAGUGUUUCACUGUCCGAGUUGUAACCUAGAGAAGUGUAACCUGCACUGGACCGUGUAUAAGUCUCCUGGAAUGGAGCAUCACAGAGGGUGAGAAUCCCGUCUUUGACAUGGACCACCAGUGCAUUGUGGUUGUGCUCUCAACGAGUCGAGUUGUUUGGGAAUGCAGCUCUAAAUGGGUGGUAAAUUCCAUCUAAAGCUAAAUAUUGGCGAGAGACCGAUAGCGAACAAGUACCGUGAGGGAAAGAUGAAAAGAACUUUGGAAAGAGAGUUAAACAGUAUGUGAAAUUGUUGAAAGGGAAACGUUUGAAGUCAGUCGCGUUGGUUGGGGAUCAGCCUGACAUUGUUGGGUUUACUUCCUGGUCGACGGGCCAACAUCAGUUUUGACUGCCAGAAAAAGGCCAAAGGAAUGUGGCACCUUUGGGUGUGUUAUAGCCCUUGGUCGUAUAUGGUGGUUGGGACUGAGGAAAGCAGCGUGCCGAAAGGCCGGGUUUCGACCACGUUCACGCUGAGGAUGUUGGCAUAAUGGCUUUAAGCGACCCGUCUUGAAACACGGACCAAGGAGUCUAACAUGCAUGCGAGUGUUUGGGUGGAAAACCCUUACGCGUAAUGAAAGUGAAAGUUGAGAUCCCUGUCGCGGGGAGCAUCGACGCCCGGACCAGAACUUUUGGGACGGAUCUGCGGUAGAGCAUGUAUGUUGGGACCCGAAAGAUGGUGAACUAUGCCUGAAUAGGGUGAAGCCAGAGGAAACUCUGGUGGAGGCUCGUAGCGAUUCUGACGUGCAAAUCGAUCGUCAAAUUUGGGUA